UCACAUUUAGAAACCAUUCAGAACUAAAACAUUUUAAAGCUUCCUGAUAGUUUAGAAAAACAAUGGUAGGUAUUUUUCCAAAAGCAAGAAGAGAGGGGGGGGGGGGGGGGGCUCGGAAAGCAGAGCAUGCUAAAAACAAAAUAAGCAAUCUAUUAUCCAGGCCCCAUUUCAUGCUGCACUCGACGGGUCUAAAACGGGUGAGACAACCAAAGCAGAGCAAACAUGAAAACAAGCUCA
rnacentral:lncRNA from 1 species